rnacentral:tRNA from 1 species
UCAAAAAUAGUUUAUAUAAAAAUGUUAAUCUUGGAGAUUAAGGAAAUUAGUUAUUAUUUUUUGAA